rnacentral:rRNA from 1 species
UACGUAGGGGGCAAGCGUUGUCCGGAAUCAUUGGGCGUAAAGAGCGUGUAGGCGGCUCGAUAAGUCUGCUGUGAAAGUCCAGGGCUCAACCCUGGAAGGCCGGUGGAAACUGUCGGGCUAGAGUCCGGAAGAGGCGAGUGGAAUUCCCGGUGUAGCGAUGAAAUGCGCAGAUAUCGGGAAGAACACCCGUGGCGAAGGCGGCUCUCUGGGACGGUACUGACGCUGAGACGCGAAAGCGUGGGGAGCGAACAGG